AGACGUAGGGGGCGAGCGUUGUCCGGAAUUACUGGGCGUAAAGAGCGUGUAGGCGGGUGCUUAAGUCAGGUGUGAAAGACCGGGGCUCAACUCCGGGGUUGCACUUGAAACUGGGUAUCUUGAGGGCAGGAGAGGAAAGCGGAAUUCCUGGUGUAGCGGUGAAAUGCGUAGAUAUCAGGAGGAACACCGGUGGCGAAGGCGGCUUUCUGGACUGACCCUGACGCUGAGACGCGAAAGUGUGGGGAGCAAACAGGAUUAGAUACCCUGGUAGUCCACGCUGUAAACGAUGGGCACUAGGUGUAGGAGGUAUCGACCCCUUCUGUGCCGCAGCUAACGCAAUAAGUGCCCCGCCUGGGGAGUACGGUCGCAAGGCUGAA
rnacentral:rRNA from 1 species